UACGGUGGGGGCAAGCGUUGUUCGGAAUUACUGGGCGUAAAGGGCUCGUAGGUGGCCAACUAAGUCGGACGUGAAAUCCCUCAGCUUAACUGGGGAACUGCGUCCGAUACUGGAUGGCUUGAGUUUGGGAGAGGGAUGCGGAAUUCCAGGUGUAGCGGUGAAAUGCGUAGAUAUCUGGAGGAACACCGGUGGCGAAGGCGGCAUCCUGGACCAACACUGACACUGAGGAGCGAAAGCCAGGGGAGCAAACGGG
rnacentral:rRNA from 1 species